rnacentral:rRNA from 1 species
CAACGUUUGACAUGUCCAGUAUGGUUUCCAGAGAUGGAUUCCUUCAGUUCGGCUGGCUGGAACACAGGUGCUGCAUGGCUGUCGUCAGCUCGUGUCGUGAGAUGUUGGGUUAAGUCCCGCAACGAGGGCAACCCUCAUCUCUAGUUGCCAUCAUUUAGUUGGGCACUCUAGAGAAACCGCCGGUGAUAAGCCGGAGGAAGGUGGGGAUGACGUCAAGUCCUCAUGGCCCUUACGCGUUGGGCUACACACGUGCUACAAUGGCAGUGACAAUGGGCUGCAACCUCGCGAGGGGUAGCUAAUCCCAAAAAGCUGUCUCAGUUCGGAUUGCACUCUGCAACUCGAGUGCAUGAAGUUGGAAUCGCUAGUAAUCGCGGAUCAGCAUGCCGCGGUGAAUA